rnacentral:rRNA from 1 species
GACGAACGCUGGCGGCGUGCUUAACACAUGCAAGUCGAACGGAAAGGCCCUGCUUUUGUGGGGUGCACGAGUGGCGAACGGGUGAGUAACACGUGAGUAUACUGUACUUGUCUUUGGGAUAACUUCAGGAAACUGGGGAUAAUACCGGAUAGGAGCUCCUGCUGCAUGGUGGGGGUUGGAAAGUUUCGGCGGUUGGGGAUGGUCUCGAGGCUUAUCCGCUUGUUGGUGGGGUAGUGGCUUACAAAGGCUUUGACGGGUAGCCGGCCUGAGAGGGUUACCGGCGUCAAUGGGCCUGCGGGACGGCGCAGAAUCGUACGGGAGGCAGCAGUGGGGAAUAUUACAGAGUGAGCGGAAGCCUGUGGCAGCGACGCCGCGAGCGGGAUACCGGCCUUCUAGUGGUAAACCGCUUUCGCAUGUGACGAGGCGUGCGUGACGGUAAUGGGUAAGAAAGCACCGGCUAACUACGUG